rnacentral:rRNA from 1 species
AGAGUUUGAUCAUGGCUCAGGACGAACGCUGGCGGCGUGCCUAACACAUGCAAGUCGAGCGGAGUUAGACAGCAGAGACUUCGGUUGAAGCUGUAUAACUUAGCGGCGGACGGGUGAGUAACACGUAGGCAACCUGCCCAUCACACUGGGAUAGCCCGGGGAAACCCGGGGUAAUACCGGAUACCUUUCUCCGUACGCAUGUAGGGGGAAGAAAGCGGAUAAGCGGUGAUGGAUGGGCCUGCGGCCCAUUAGCUAGUUGGCGGGAUAACGGCCCACCAAGGCGACGAUGGGUAGCCGACCUGAGAGGGUGACCGGCCACACUGGGACUUAGACACGGCCCAGACUCCUACGGGAGGCAGCAGUGGGGAAUAUUGCGCAAUGGGGGGAACCCUGACGCAGCGACGCCGCGUGAGCGAAGAAGGCCUUCGGGUUGUAAAGCUCAGUCAUCGGGGAAGAAUAGGACAGUACCCGAAGAGGAAGCCCCGGCUAACUACGUGCCAGCAGCCGCGGUAAU